rnacentral:rRNA from 1 species
AGCGAACGCUGGCGGCAGGCCUAACACAUGCAAGUCGAACGAACUCUUCGGAGUUAGUGGCGGACGGGUGAGUAACACGUGGGAACGUGCCCUUUGGUUCGGAAUAACUCAGGGAAACUUGUGCUAAUACCGAAUGUGCCCUUCGGGGGAAAGAUUUAUCGCCAUUAGAGCGGCCCGCGUCUGAUUAGCUAGUUGGUAAGGUAACGGCUCACCAAGGCGACGAUCAGUAGCUGGUCUGAGAGGAUGACCAGCCACACUGGGACUGAGACACGGCCCAGACUCCUACGGGAGGGAGGAGUGGGGAAUCUUGCGCCAUGGGCGAAAGCCUGACGCAGCCAUGCCGGGUGAAUGAUGAAGGUCUUAGGAUUGUAAAAUUCUUUCAACGGGGACGAUAAUGACGGUACCCGGAGAAGAAGCCCCGGCUAACUUCGUG